GCAAGGCCUUGCGCUCUUUGAGCGGCCGAUGUCAGAUUAGCUAGUUGGUGAGGUAAAGGCUUACCAAGGCGACGAUCUGUAGCGGGUCUGAGAGGAUGAUCCGCCACACUGGAACUGAGACACGGUCCAGACUCCUACGGGAGGCAGCAGUGGGGAAUUUUGGACAAUGGGGGCAACCCUGAUCCAGCCAUGCCGCGUGAGUGAAGAAGGCCUUCGGGUUGUAAAGCUCUUUCGGCCGGGAAGAAAUCGCAUGGGCCAAUACCCUGUGUGGAUGACGGUACCGGAAUAAGAAGCACCGGCUAACUACGUGCCAGCAGCCGCGGUAAUACGUAGGGUGCGAGCGUUAAUCGGAAUUACUGGGCGUAAAGCGUGCGCAGGCGGUUUUGUAAGACAGGCGUGAAAUCCCCGGGCUUAACCUGGGAACUGCGUUUGUGACUGCAAGGCUAGAGUACGGCAGAGGGGGGUGGAAUUCCACGUGUAGCAGUGAAAUGCGUAGAGAUGUGGAGGAACACCAAUGGCGAAGGCAGCCCCCUGGGUCGAUACUGACGCUCAUGCACGAAAGCGUGGGUAGCAAACAGGAUUAGAUACCCUGGUAGUCCACGCCCUAAACUAUGUCAACUAGGUGUUGGGUGGGUAAAACCAUUUAGUACCGUAGCUAACGCGUGAAGUUGACCGCCUGGGGAGUACGGCCGCAAGGUUAAAACUCAAAGGAAUUGACGGGGACCCGCACAAGCGGUGGAUGAUGUGGAUUAAUUCGAUGCAACGCGAAAAACCUUACCUACCCUUGACAUGCCAGGAGCUUGCCAGAGAUGGCUUGGUGCCCGAAAGGGAGCCUGGACACAGGUGCUGCAUGGCUGUCGUCAGCUCGUGUCGUGAGAUGUUGGGUUAAGUCCCGCAACGAGCGCAACCCUUGUCGUUAAUUGCCAUCAUUUAGUUGGGCACUUUAACGAGACUGCCGGUGACAAACCGGAGGAAGGUGGGGAUGACGUCAAGUCCUCAUGGCCCUUAUGGGUAGGGCUUCACACGUCAUACAAUGGUCGGUACAAAGGGUUGCCAAGCCGCGAGGCGGAGCCAAUCCCAGAAAGCCGAUCGUAGUCCGGAUUGCAGGCUGCAACUCGCCUGCAUGAAGUCGGAUCGCUAGUAAUCGUGGAUCAGCAUGUCACGGUGAAUACGUUCCCGGGUCUUGUACACACCGCCCGUCACACCAUGGGAGCGGGUUCCGCCAGAAGUAGGUAGCCUAACCGCAAGGGGGGCGCUUACCACGGCGGGGUUCGUGACUGGGGUGAAG
rnacentral:rRNA from 1 species